AGAGCAAGUCGGGUGAUCGCUGCUUCGCAGUUUUAGAUUUCAGAUUUCAAAUCUCAGAUUUGAAACCAGGAUUGAAGGCUCGAAGGAGAGGAAAGUCCGAACACCAGAGGGCAGCGAGCCCGCUAACGGCGGGGCGUCCGAGUGAAUUCAGAUCUCAAAUUUCAAUUGAAAUUUCAGAUGAAGAGAGAUUCGGGCGACGACAAGUGCAACAGAAAACAGACCAGCCGGUGCGGCUCAGAUUUUGAGAUCUCAAAUCUGAAACACAGGUGAUGGGUGAAACGGUGCGGCCCGCAAGGGCUAAUCUCAGAUCUGAGAUCUCAAAUUUCAGAUCUGAUUUGAGUAAGAGCGCACCGGCGCGCGUGGUGACAUGCGCGGCCAGGCAAACUCCUCGCGGUGCAAGACCAAAUAGGGAGGCGUUAACAGGGCUGCCCGCCCGAAGCCUCCGGGUAGGUCGCUUGAUCCAAUCGGCAACGGUUGGGCUAGAGGAAUGAUCGCCGCUCCGAUUUUCAAAUCUCCGAUCUCAAAUCUGAGAUUGGAAAUUUGAAGAUCGGGGAACAGAAUUCGGCUUACAGGCUUGCUCUCAAU
rnacentral:RNase_P_RNA from 1 species